rnacentral:rRNA from 1 species
UACGGAGGGUGCAAGCGUUGUCCGGAUUUAUUGGGUUUAAAGGGUGCGUAGGCGGCUUUUUAAGUCAGUGGUGAAAGACAACAGCUCAACUGUUGCAGUGCCAUUGAUACUGAAGAGCUUGAGUACAGAUGAGGUAGGCGGAAUUUAUGGUGUAGCGGUGAAAUGCAUAGAUACCAUAAAGAACACCUAUUGCGAAGGCAGCUUACUAGCUGUAACUGACGCUGAGGCACGAAAGUGUGGGG